rnacentral:rRNA from 1 species
CCCUUAGAUGUCCUGGGCCGCACGCGCGCUACACUGAUGCAUGCAACGAGUUUCACUUUUCCUGGGUCGAGAGGCCCGGGUAAUCUGUUGAACGUGCAUCGUGAUAGGGAUAGAUCAUUGCAAUUAUUGAUCUUGAACGAGGAAUUCCUAGUAAACGCGAGUCAUCAGCUCGCAUUGAUUACGUCCCUGCCCUUUGUACACACCGCCCGUCGCUCCUACCGAUUGAGUGGUCCGGUGAGGCUUUGGGAUCUGAGCGGAAAGAGCGUUUCGCUGUUUCUGCCCGGAAAACUCAGUCGAACCUUAUCAUUUAGAGGAAGGAGAAGUCGUAACA